rfam:Salmo salar isolate Sally breed double haploid chromosome ssa07, whole genome shotgun sequence.
UGCAUUCACUACUGUAAGUCGCUCUGGAUAAGAGUGUCUGCUAAAUGACUCAAA